rnacentral:rRNA from 1 species
UACAGAGGUCCCGAGCGUUGUUCGGAUUCACUGGGCGUAAAGGGUGCGCAGGUGGGUUGGUAAGUUUGGUGUGAAAUCUCGGAGCUUAACUCCGAAACUGCAUUCGAUACUGCCGUGCUUGAGGACUGGAGAGGAGACUGGAAUUUACGGUGUAGCGGUGAAAUGCGUAGAUAUCGUAAGGAAGACCAGUGGCGAAGGCGGGUCUCUGGACAGUUCCUGACGCUGAGGCACGAAGGCCAGGGGAGCAAACGGG